rnacentral:rRNA from 1 species
GUGUCAGCAGCCGCGGUAAGACGAACCGUGCAAACGUUGUUCGGAUUCACUGGGCUUAAAGGGCGCGUAGGCGGGCAUUCAAGUCCGGGGUGAAAUCCUCUCGCUUAACGAGAGAACUGCCCCGGAUACUGAGUGCCUCGAGGGAGGUAGGGGCACGUGGAACUUCCGGUGGAGCGGUGAAAUGCGUAGAUAUCGGAAGGAACGCCGGUGGCGAAAGCGACGUGCUGGAUCUCUUCUGACGCUGAGGCGCGAAAGCCAGGGGAGCAAACGGGAUUAGAAACCCCGGUAGUCC